CACGUGAAGGGCGGAGCGGGCGGCGCGGGUGGCCCAGCGCCCCGAGAGCAAGCUUAUGUGACAGCAGCAGAUGCAUUCUGAAGAUCAUGGGUUGGGAAGGAGACUGUCCCUAAUUCUGCCACGUUGGCUGGGUCAGCAGUUAAGAGCACAUACUACCUUCCUGUGACGGUUUGCAUACGCUCGGCCCAGGGAGUGGCACUAUUAGAAGGUGUGGCCUUGUUGGAGGAAGUGUGACACUGUUGGAGUGGGCUUGGAGACCCUCCUAGCUGCCUGAGGAUGCUCUGUCUGUUCCUGGCUUCCUUAGGAUGAAGAUGUAGAACUCUCAGCUCCUCCUGCACCAUGCCUGCCUGGAUGCUACCAUGCUCCCACCUUGAUGAAAAUGGACUGAACCUCCGAACUUCCUCACUCCCUCCCUUGAGACCCUGUUGACUGACUGAGUUAGCUUGGUCACUUCUCCCAGCCGCUUUUGGAACAAGAGGUAGAACUUUCAGCAAUUCCAGCCCCAUGUCUGUCAGGACGCUGCCAUGCUCCCGCCUUGAUGAUAAUGAACUGAAACACUGGACCUGUAAGCCAGCCCCAACUAAAUGUUCUUUAUAAGAAUUGCUUUGGUCAUGGUAUCUGUUCACAGCAGUAAAACCCUAAUAAGACAGAUGGGGUAGACAUUGGGGUAGGCCGACUCUGAGCCCUGAAUCUGGGUCUGGGCGGCAGCUGAGUUGGUCAGCUGCUGGCUCUCCCACUCAUGCUAGCAGGGCUGGCUCUCCUGUACCUGUUACCAGGGGCCCCUCUACUGUGCUGCCCAGGUAUGGUGCAGGGCCUGCUCUCCCUAGUGCUGCACCCUGCAAGGGACAGGGCCAGUUGCAGGUUCUGCAGUCAGGGGGGGUCAUCUCACCUGUACCCAUGCCACCCCAUGGCCAGUAAGAGGCAGGCCAGCUUUCCCAAUCUCAUGCCCUUGGGGCUGGCUCACCUGCAACCCCCACACCAGGGCCAGCACUUCUGUACUGCCUAGAACUAGAUGCAGCCUGCUCUCCCGGAGUGAUGCAGCCAAUGAGGGGUGGGGCCACCGCUUCGAAGCCCUAAGAUAUCAACAAGGCCCCAGAUGGCGACCCAGACCAGGGAUGUCUGCACGGCCUUGAGGGUUAACACGUGCUCUGGAUAUGGACCCAGACCCCCACUGCUACACGGCCACAGGCCCAGACAAGAUCCAGUUCUGCCUCUCUUCAUUGUGCACACAUCAUUCUUCUCUUUCCAUCACUUACUUGCUUGUCUUAAUGGUGCUGGGCCUCUGGGCAUCUUCGGCCCAGCCUGUUCUUCGAGGCAGGGGGUCAGGAUCUAGUUGCUAAGACUUUAAAGUGAGAAAAGUUGGUCACAGGUCCAUGCCCUGGCCCCUUGGAUUGCCCUCUCUUCUCAUUUUUAGUUAUCUUCAAUUGAUCUCUAACAGACCCGGUUAACCUUUCUAUAUUCUCCAGGCAACACACUUGCCUGUUUAGAUUGACCAGACAAAUGGUUGCCUCCCAUUAAUGAUUGUUACCCUAGCUUACAGACCCAUCCCUCAACCCAAAACAGAUCAACAGGAUAUAGCUUGUAAUCAAUUCUCUGAGACUUAUGACUCAGCAAGGACAAAGAGGGCACUGAAAUUGGUUAAGGCUUCAACAUAGACAGAAAUCCCCUACACAGAAGGGUGUGAAGGGGUACAGCAGCAAUCUAGUACUUGGGAGGCAGAGCCAGGCUAACCUUGAGCCAAGCUAUGUGGUGAAGCCCCACAAUAAAAAACUAAGUAUGGGGAAGAAUGUAGCAAAGUGGUGGGGAGCUUGCCUGUCAUGGGCAAGGGCCUGGGUUCAAAUCACAGCAAGGAAAAACAACCCUUAUAUUUUUGGUUGUGAGCCUAGCCUUUAACGGCUGAGCCAUCUCUCCAGCCCGGAAAAACAACCCUUAAUAACAAAGUCUUUAAUUAUUAUUCAGAAAAAGCCUUUCUUACAGUUUGAAAUUCAUAUUUCAAGAAUGGAGAUAAGUGGAAAAAGUCAGCUUGGCCAAUAUAUCCCAAGUUCAAAAACUCAUGCAGAACUCCUAUCGCCCCCAUAAACAAUGUGUCCUGUCUAAAGGCAAGCCACCCAACCAGUAUGUGACUUCCCCUUCUUUUUAUGAAUUACCCUGAUAGCAACUGGUCUUGGUGGCAGAUUUGAUUUUAUAGUCCCUGUGGAGAGCUCUUGGGGCUGUUUCUAGGAAUUUGAUAUUGGGCUAGGACAAGGACAUAGGCUCAAGUUCUUGAUCAUCUUAAUAAAUCCCUGAAUACCAUGGGACUUUGUUUAUUGCCUUGACCUAGAACUAACCUUAUUUUUUGCAUGUACUUAGAAUGGUAAAAAAGCAGACUGGAGAAAAAUAAACCCGCUUCAGCCUCAGCAUUGGCUGGAGUUGUUAUAGUGUU